rnacentral:rRNA from 1 species
GACGAACGCUGUCGGCGUGCUUAACACAUGCAAGUCGAACGGAAAGGCCCUGCUUUUGUGGGGUGCUCGAGUGGCGAACGGGUGAGUAACACGUGAGUAACCUGCCCUUGACUUUGGGAUAACUUCAGGAAACUGGGGCUAAUACCGGAUAGGAGCUCCUGCUGCAUGGUGGGGGUUGGAAAGUUUCGGCGGUUGGGGAUGGACUCGCGGCUUAUCAGCUUGUUGGUGGGGUAGUGGCUUACCAAGGCUUUGACGGGUAGCCGGCCUGAGAGGGUGACCGGCCACAUUGGGACUGAGAUACGGCCCAGACUCCUACGGGAGGCAGCAGUGGGGAAUAUUGCACAAUGGGCGGAAGCCUGAUGCAGCAACGCCGCGUGCGGGAUGACGGCCUUCGGGUUGUAAACCGCUUUCGCCUGUGACGAAGCGUGAGUGACGGUAAUGGGUAAAGAAGCACCGGCUAACUACGUGCCAGCAGCCGCGGUGAUACGUAGGGUGCGGGCGUUGUCCGGAUUUAUUGGGCGUAAGGGGCUCGUAGGUGGUUGAUCGCGUCGGAAGUGUAAUCUCGGGGCUUAACCCUGAGCGUGCUUUCGAUACGGGUUGACUUGAGGAAGGUAGGGGAGAAUGGAAUUCCUGGUGGAGCGGUGGAAUGCGCAGAUAUCAGGAGGAACACCAGUGGCGAAGGCGGUUCUCUGGGCCUUUCCUGACGCUGAGGAGCGAAAGCGUGGGGAGCGAACAGGCUUAGAUACCCUGGUAGUCCACGCUGUAAACGGUGGGUACUAGGUGUGGGGUCCAUUCCACGGGUUCCGUGCCGUAGCUAACGCUUUAAGUACCCCGCCUGGGGAGUACGGCCGCAAGGCUAAAACUCAAAGGAAUUGACGGGGCCCCGCACAAGCGGCGGAGCAUGCGGAUUAAUUCGAUGCAACGCGUAGAACCUUACCUGGGUUUGACAUGGAUCGGGAGUGCUCAGAGAUGGGUGUGCCUCUUUUGGGGUCGGUUCACAGGUGGUGCAUGGCUGUCGUCAGCUCGUGUCGUGAGAUGUUGGGUUAAGUCCCGCAACGAGCGCAACCCUUGUUCACUGUUGCCAGCACGUUAUGGUGGGGACUCAGUGGAGACCGCCGGGGUCAACUCGGAGGAAGGUGGGGAUGACGUCAAGUCAUCAUGCCCCUUAUGUCAGGGCUUCACGCAUGCUACAAUGGCUGGUACAGAGAGUGGCGAGCCUGUGAGGGUGAGCGAAUCUCGGAAAGCCGGUCUCAGUUCGGAUUGGGGUCUGCAACUCGACCUCAUGAAGUCGGAGUCGCUGGUAAUCGCAGAUCAGCAACGCUGCGGUGAAUACGUUCCCGGGGCU